rnacentral:rRNA from 1 species
AACGAACGCUGGCGGCAGGCUUAACACAUGCAAGUCGAACGCCCCGCAAGGGGAGUGGCAGACGGGUGAGCAACGCGUGGGAACGUGCCCUUCGCUUCGGAAUAGCCCCGGGAAACUGAGAGUAAUACCGGAUACGCCGUAUUGGGAAAGAUUUAUCGGCGAAGGAUCGGCCUGCGUUAGAUUAGCUAGUUGGCGGUGUAAUGGACCACCAAGGCUACGAUCUAUAGCUGGUCUGAGAGGAUGAUCAGCCACACUGGGACUGAGACACGGCCCAGACUCCUACGGAGGCAGCAGUGGGAAUC